AUGUGCCUGGCUCCCUGUAUGCCACUCAUCUAGAUCAACAACUACCUAUGGUUGCCUAUGAUGGUUGGCGUGCACGGUGCCAAGCAUAU
rfam:Sorghum bicolor cultivar BTx623 chromosome 7, whole genome shotgun sequence.